CUGGCUGGCUGACGUGCUGGCUGGCUGGCGGGCGGGCGGAACAAGCUUGUCCGGGCCAUAACUAUGUCGUUCAUUGUCAGAUUUUAAAAUCAUUUGGCACAUUUGUUCACCAUCAUUGGACGGUGUGUCGCGCGAAAUAAUUACGUCGAUAUCUCCAAGGUCAAGGUCACACUUUGAGUUCAAAGGUCAAAAAUGGCCAUAAAUUAGCUUGUCCUGGCCAUAACUAUGUCAUUCAUUGUGAGAUUUUAAAAUCAUUUGGCACAUUUGUUCACCAUCAUGGGACGGCGUGUCGCACGAAAGAAUCACGUCAAUAUCUCCAAUGUCAAGGUCGCCACGACUAAAAAUAGAUUUUUUUAAAAAACAAACUAACAAAGGGGGUUAGUUUUGUUUGUUCAUUUCAAAAGUUCAGUUUGAGUUUUCUCCCUUUAUCAGAUUUUUUUUUCACAAUGAAAACCUGGUUUUGUGACAAUUUUGUCCCUUGUUAUAAUAAUAUUAUACAGUUCUUGAUGACUGCAGUGUCCACGACUAAGAUGUUGAACCAGAUGGCCUACAUCCAGAACUGACGCAUGGAGUUCAAAACUACAUGGAUAAAGGCAGCUACGUUCGAUUCGGCUUAAGGUCACCAUAGUUAGCCCAGACAGCCCUCCGGCACUUUGUCAGAGGACAGAUCAUCUGAGAUGUGAUUGAGAGUCAUGAGGUAACCGCUGUGCAAAUAUUUGGCUCGGAUCUGACAAACCGCAAAAAGUUUGCCUUUUAAAGAGUGUGGCAUAUCAUUCCAACAAGAUGUGCAUUGCCCCAUCACCUUUGUCCAGCCACCUGGCAGAUUCCCUGCGGAGUAGUUGUGUGCUAACUUCUCGGGUUCCAUCACCAAUGAUGGCUUCCCCAAGGCUACAACUACAUACAGAAGAUGAUAGUCAACAUUCAGCUUGUGAUGUAAGAAACGGGCAUUCAGCCGGCGAAUAUAAACCAGCACACCUUAACUGCUUGGUAGUUUUCAUGUGCAGUGCUCAUGGAAAGUGCAGGGAGAGGAUCUUGCUGGAACAGGUGCUCACCCUUCAGUUGGCUCGAUUGGUAGCGCCCAAGUCACUGCCAGCGCCCAUGAAAAGGCCAGAUGCCCUGGAGAUGGGAACCACUGACACAUGAUCAGUUCCCCAUCUAGAGCAGCACUAAAGGCGACCUCCAUAAAGCCUACUUUCUGGAAUACAUCUGUGUGCAGAGCUUGUACAUCAAGUUGAAGACUUACAAUUCAUCUCAUUGACAGUGAUACAACAUUUAAACAAAACCGUUUUAUGACUGAAAAAUCUAAAUAAAAACAAAAUAUGUUGUUGCCUUAUACCAGUGUCAUGGCACACUGGUCGCUUUACUAUAUGCUGCAAUAAAUUGCUUCUUUUCAAGGAUGAGGCUUUGUUGACUGCUUUAAUAAAUAUAUAAUGUAAAAUUACCUGCUCAACUAUGAAAUUAUAUGAAUCAAAUAUUGUGUACAACUACUGCUUGCCUCAUUAAAAAAACACAAUAUGAAGCUUCAUUACUAAAUGUGUCCGCAAAAUUUUAUUCCCGAUUCUGAUCAGUGACUCCUUUGUGUAGCUUAUGUUUAACGACUGUUCAGUUUAGUUGCUUUUUUGACCAAGUUAGUUAUUUAUCAAAUACAGUGUACUUUUCUAAUCAUUUUGCUCUAUGUUGUAUAAAGUUACUGUUCAAAAUGAAUCAGAUAUCUAAGAUGAGUAUUGUCUAAUCUUUUUUAAUUAAAAUCACUUGUCAUAAAUAUAACUUCCUGGGCUAGUUUUCAAAAUUGCA